GGGGGUAUUGGAGUUGAAUGGGUCUGGGGGUUGAUGGAAAGUGUUGGAGUUGGUGAUGGGGAUCUUGGGACACAUGAGAUUGGACUACUGGGGCUCCGUAUUGGAUUUGGGAAGUGUGGGAAGCUCUAAGCCAGAAAGCCUGGAACCUGGGUAUUUUGAAACAAUGGAGUUUUGAUGUGGGGCUCUGGGACUGGUGUUCUGUAGGUGAAAAAUAUUGUUAUGUGGUGGAGCUUGCUUGGACAGAGUGAUUUUGUUCUGAGUAAGAUUCAUAAGUUUCAUUUCAGGAGAGAGCAUUGGAGAGCAAUGCAUUCCUUCUACCCUCUACUUCUUUUAGAUCCUUUUGUCUAUUUAACACUUAUUUGGAGAAGAGGUGGCAUUAAUCAGGAUGGACUGUAAGAUCUGAAUAUACUUCUCUCCAGUGGAGAAGUGCUCACUCUAUAUGGGGCAAAUGAAAAGAACUAUAGACAAAGAAAUGCCCCCCUCAACUUCCUUUACCUGGUUUUUAUAGAUCUGUAAUAUGUCUCCUCUGGAUCAUCUCUUUUCUAGACUGGAGAUCCUUAGUGGCUCAGUUCCCCUUCAUAUGGCUGGAAACAAAGAUGAUCUCUAAAGCAAGACCUCACUGUCACAGGAGGAGUGCUACAGCCUCUGAUCUUCCAGGUCUUUUGGAAUGGAUUCAAGUGCCACUUAAUCCAGUCCAUACUCUCCUGAUUUGCUGACGGAGAUUAGGUCAAAUUUCUCUUGUAGCUGGCUUGCAUUGAUUGGUUUGUAAGCCUGCAUGGUUUUGCUGUUUUGGUAUUAAUACUUAGGUGUAUUGUGCAAGUGGAAACUCACACAAGACAUUGCUAGUCCAUCCUCCGUGCUUUCACUCGAUAGUAUGACAUUGUUGCGGCAAGCCUUUAAUUGAGUUUUCCAAUUGAGACAAGAAACUACAGAAUCUGUAUUGGAUGGAGAAUUCCUUUGUUUUUUAUUUCCCAGAAAUGCUAGGGAGUAGCUUAGAGUAGGAAUUGUUAAAUUUUGAUUUUUGAAAGACUAUGUUUUGCUUGAUUCAUAUUUUUCUAUUUCUUUUGCAGGCUACAAUACAUCCUAGAUUAAAUAUAUAAGGCAUGCUGAUGCUAAGGCAUAAGCUAUGGAUCAAUGGAAAUAAAGUUUCUACAAAAGCAUAUUUAAAAAUAAUUUCAUGUAAAGUGGAAUUAUAGAGCACUGAGUAAUUAAAGAACAUAAUGUAAUAACCUUUCAUUCUAUCUUGCUUCUUAUUAGCCAUAAGUACCUUAGUGUUAUUCAAGGUGUCUAUAUUGUGUGUGUUUCUGAGUAUGCAGUUGUUUUAGAAAUUGCUACCACACCUUUAUGUAAGGCUGAAUGAUCACAGACCAAGGUUAUUGGUAGGUCUGCAUUAAUUCACUUAUAAACAGGAAAAAGAACCUUAAAACUGCAACAUAACUAAAGAGUAUGCGUAUUCUCACAAGCACAGCAAACAAGUGUGGUGCCCGAACCUGCUGCAAAGAGGAGCUACUAAAUCUUCUGAGACCUAACAAAAGAGAUGUAGUAGAACCAAAUUAGCUCUGUGCUCAGCAU